rnacentral:misc_RNA from 1 species
UUCUGAAAUGCUUUGUUGGAAGGAAUGGGGCCUUCCAAAUCAUUAUAGGAUAUAUCAAUGGACAACAAACCAUACAUCUCUUUGAAACUAUCUGGAAUAGAACCAGAUAGGUUAUUGUGGGAGAGAUUCAAAGUUUCCAAGCUUUCUAAACCGCUUAAUUGUGAAGGAAUCUCUCCUUUAAGAAAGUUUCGACUUAAAUCCAACUCCGACAAGUGAAACAAC